rnacentral:rRNA from 1 species
GGGUUGUGAGGUUAAGCGACUAAGCGUACACGGUGGAUGCCCUGGCAGUCAGAGGCGAUGAAGGACGUGCUAAUCUGCGAUAAGCGCCGGUAAGGUGAUAUGAACCGUUAUAACCGGCGAUUUCCGAAUGGGGAAACCCAGUGUGACUCGUCACACUAUCAUUAACUGAAUCCAUAGGUUAAUGAGGCGAACCGGGGGAACUGAAACAUCUAAGUACCCCGAGGAAAAGAAAUCAACCGAGAUUCCCCCAGUAGCGGCGAGCGAACGGGGAGGAGCCCAGAGCCUGAAUCAGCAUGUGUGUUAGUGGAAGCGUCUGGAAAGGCGCGCGAUACAGGGUGACAGCCCCGUACACAAAAGCGCAUGUGCUGUGAGCUCGAUGAGUAGGGCGGGACACGUGGUAUCCUGUCUGAAUAUGGGGGGACCAUCCUCCAAGGCUAAAUACUCCUGACUGACCGAUAGUGAACCAGUACCGUGAGGGAAAGGCGAAAAGAACCCCGGCGAGGGGAGUGAAAAAGAACCUGAAACCGUGUACGUACAAGCAGUGGGAGCACCCUU